rnacentral:lncRNA from 1 species
ACUAAUCCAAGUUCAUCUUCCUUAUUCAAAUAUUAGCAGUAAUCUUUGAAUCAUCCUUGAAGUGUAGUGUGUGAGAUAGCCAUGCUAAUGCAAUUUCAAGUUUUUAUUUUUAAAAUCAUCAUAUGCAAACUAGUAACCUUCUCACGGGAUAUACACUCAAUCACAUAUGUGUUUAGUUUUAGUGUGUUUCGCUCAAAGAAACAAAUGUGAAAUUUCUACCAUAAGCUUGCAUAAAGAUCACUUCUCCACAGUCAUAAUUGCAAAACUUAAAUCAAGAGGACUUUUAUUGGAUGUAAUGAGGCUUAGGGAUAGGGUUAUUGAAACGAAAGAAUAGGAAACACAAAUUCCAAGCUACAUUGCAAGCAAUUUUUCUCUUUAGAUUUAUAAGAACUCAAGCUCUCCAACAAUUCUUCUAGCACCUCCAACCAUACCCUUAAACUGAAACUUGAACAACUUUUUAUUUUCUUUGUGUACAAUUUUUCUUUUUCUUUUUCUUUUCUUCUCUUUUUUCCCUUUUUUUUUUUUUUUUAUACAAACAUGAAAUACCCCCACACUUAUUCUUUUGCCAAACACCUUCAAAGUACUUCACAAACGUUUCUCAUAAGACAAUUUCGCAUUGCUCGCUUGGAAAGGGUAAGGAAAAAUGUUUCAGGUAUAAGGGUAGACAUAUCUGGUGAUAAGAAAUAAAAGGCUCAACAUACACGGCUCAAAUUGGCAAUCUAAUGAUAUCAUUUUUCUUUGGGAAACAUGGUUAUUUGGGCCAUGGUGGUAAACCUAAUGCCUCUAUCAUUUCCAAGUUCAUGCAAUCAAUGACAAACAUUUCGAAAGAUCGUUACGCAAGUUCUAGAGAUGUAUCUCACAUAAGUUCAUCACACAUGAAAGAAUAGGAGUGUAUGAAAAAUGCACACACUUUCAAUCGGCUCAAAAACUCACAUAGGAUGUAUAUGGUCACUAAAUUCACAUAUGAAGCUUUAAGUCAUACUUUAGUUUCACAUCAACAAGGCUAUGUGCAUUUGGUUUUUCAAAGAUGAUCAAACAUGUACAAAACUAACAAGAGAAUAAGGAAUUUCACAAAACACAUGUUAACUAAGUUCUUGAUGAUCAUGGUUCGAAUUUGAUCCAAUUAUAUCAUUGGGUCGGGAAACUAACAAAAAUCUAAUUCAAAACAAUAAGGGAAACAAGACAAUUUUUUAUUUUUUAAAAUUUUCCGAAAUUUUUUUUUUUUUUUUUUUUUUUUUUUUUUUUUUUUUUUUUUUUAAUGAAAACAAAACUAAUUAAGAAAACAAAAAGCAACAACAUGGAAACAAAUGAAAUUCUAGAGAUGUCUACCCCCACACUUAAACUGGACAUUGUCCCCAAUGUCAGAAAACACUAUAAUGCAAAUAAAAAUAAAAUAAAUAAAUAAAUAAGAAACAAAAUAAAACAAUUGGACUGAAAACUUCCCUAAUUUGCAGUAAAAUCAAGCGAUGACCCCCAAGCUAAAAUUCUGCAAUCAACUUCAAGGGUGGAAAUAACUAAAAGUUCCUGCAAAGAAAAGAAAUAAUUCAGUUAAGUACGCAAGAAAAUUAAUUAAAAAAAAAUGCAAACGAAAAAUUGAAAAUUACGAUAAAAGAUAAUGAAUAAAACUAAUAAGUAAUCAUUGGUCGUGCUUGUUGACUUUCCACAGCUUUCCUCUUGAACAGGGUGACACUUAGCUUUUUACUUGCAAGUGAUGAUUUGAUGAUAUUGUACGGCGAGGCUUUGCUCUUUGGGAAUGUUGCAGUUCCUUAUUUGUUCUCCAAGCAGAUGUGGCAG